rnacentral:rRNA from 1 species
GACGAACGCUGGCGGCGUGCUUAACACAUGCAAGUCGAACGGAAAGGCCCUGCUUUUGUGGGGUGCUCGAGUUGCGAACGGGUGAGUAACACGUGAGUAACCUGCCCUUGACUUUGGGAUAACUUCAGGAAACUGGGUCUAAUACCGGAUAGGAGCUCCUGCUGCUUGGUGGGGGUUGGAAAGUUUCGGCGGUUGGGGAUGGACUCGCGGCUUAUCAGCUUGUUGGUGGGGUAGUGGCUUACCAAGGCUUUGACGGGUAGCCGGCCUGAGCGGGUGACCGGCCACAUUGGGACUGAGAUACGGCCCAGACUCCUCCGGGAGGCAGGAGUGGGGAAUGUUGCACAAUGGGCGGAAGCCUGAUGCAGCAACGCCGCGUGCGGGAUGACGGCCAUCGGGUUGUAAACCGCAUCCGCCUGUGACGAAGCGUGAGUGACGGUAAUGGGUAAAGAAGCACCGGCUAACUACGUG